AUUUAACGAACUUUGCCCUUAUUUAUCGUCGCUGCGUAAACCCUUUUAAAACCUCUCACGGCGGCCGCCGUUGUCUCAUCUGGUUGAGGUAUGUUUGAUUCGAUUCAUGAAUUCAAUCAAUUGUUCAUAUUUCAAAAACUCCUUAUUUCACCAUUUAAAGGAAUUGACCAAUAUACCCCAUGACCUAAUAAACCUUAUACACCAACACAUAUCACAUACGCCUCCAUUCUAUCGAUCGUUGCUGCUCCUGUCGUUGCCUCCUCAAGCUCACCCUCCCUGCUCGCCGCCGUUAGCCAUCUCCUCCCCACCAGCCGGAGAUCGUCGCAGCCCACAGCAACACCGGAGACCUUCGACCCCACAGCUAAGGUUCAUGUCUGUUCCUGUUGUCUGCAUUCGUCUUUAUUUUUACCUUUGAAUGUGAAACGAGAAGUGAUUUUGAAUGAAACACCGAGCAGUUUGAAGGAUUAGAAGUGGGGAACAAUUUCGAUUUUAACUCACAAGUUGAUGACUAUGUUCGAUUUUGCUAACAACACUUAACAGGGGGAGUAAGAAGAAACUAGAAGAGAAAAGAAAGAAGAAACGAGAAAAGAAGGAAUGACGGCCGGAGAAAAAAUAGGUGAAACUGUCCUCAUGCCAGAGAAUUAUGUUACUUAAUUACAACAAAGAGACAAAGCUUAUCGAUUUUUGGCAUUAUUCUAUCAGACUGCAGCCAGUUGGUGUCUCAGGUAGAAUCAGAAAAUUUGUGCAAAACCAUCAACUUCCUCAUCCCAGAUCUCUUCAAGAUGUCAGUCACUUUGUAACAAAGUAACGUUUCUUCAAGAAUCAGAAAAUGAGGGAAAUAACGAGGAAAAGAAAGAGGACUCAGAGGAAGGUUCCGAGGAGGGAAGUGAGCAAGAAGACAUCAUGGAUGAGUAAUACAAUUUAUUUUUAAAAUUUAUUUAGGUUCGAUGUUCAUUUGCUAUUUUUGGAAAUUUGGAUUCGCUUCCAUUUUUGUGAUAUUAAGUAAAAUAUAUGUUUUCUUUUUUA